CUCUCCACCUCGGUAUACUCCAUCAUCUAUUCACUUCUGAACUACACGUGGUCUGAUUCCUUUAUAGCCAAGGAUAUGUAGGCAGCUCAGAUGCCAGGGCUCGGCCACAUUCUCCUUUCUUUUAGCUUUUGGUCUUUUUAAAUAAGGGUCGGGUCAAAAAACCUGUCUAGUCGUUCUUUGUCUAAAAAUACUUUGUAUUUUCAAUCAAAGAGGGGCAGCUGUAGACAUGUGAUUUUUGACACUCCCCAAGAUUUUUCAUAUUUUAGUAUUUAAAUAUUUAAUUUAUGUCUAAUAUAGUUAUUUCAAUAAAUUUUGGCUCUUUUACAUUACUUUAAGAACAAAAAUCAAAAAUUACAAAAAUAGUUCCAUAUUUUUCUAGUUAAUUCACGUAUUAGAUAUUUUUAGGAGGAUAUAUUACUUUAACCCUAUUUUUAUUCUAAUAUAAUCCUUGAAAAUACCAAAAAUAGUUCCAACUUUAAUUUUUAGUUUUAUUUUUAAUAAAAAUAACUUAUUAAAAUUAAUGUAGAGUUUGUAUAGGUAUUAAAUUUGAAUUUUCAGUCCUUUUUGGCCCAAUUUUAUAAAUUUCGGAGUCCAAUUCAAAUAUGAGCCCAAAAUUAAACAAACCAACCCAGUACCCUAUGUAACCCAUCAGAUUUUCCUUCUUUGGGGAAUUUAAAAACGAAGAUCUAGAAAAACCCUAAAAGAGAAGGGUCUUCUUCUUACACAAGAUAAAACAAAAACAAAAAAUCCUAGGACCCUAAAAACAAGAGACAACCGCUACAAACGACUACCUACCUUCAGCCGUAGAACACAAACCCAUUUAUCUCCAUCGCUAGACGGAACCAAAUCUGACCGGAAUCAUGUAAUUCUGAUGACUCUCCAGUGAAUCCGGAGAAGCAGGUGUUCGAACCAGCAACUCUCGUCCUCUAUUCAUCUUUUAAGAAUAGCAGCAAACCCCAAAACUCUUGUCGUCUUUUCAAAUCUUGGGUUGUCAUUACUCAGUCUUUAAUUUUGGGGUUAGAUUUUGAAAUUUUGUCUAGUUUCAGGGGUUCUUGUUCUCGGUUAUCGGUUCUAGUUCGAUGAGGGCCUGUGCUGAGGCUCUCAGAUAUGAUUGAGGUCCGUUCGAGAUGGUCUGUUGGUUUUGGUCGGGGUUAAAUCAAGUCCGAGUUUGUUUUUUUGAGUUCGUCGAGGUCUGGUCAAGGUUCAGCCGUGUUUUGCUAUUGUUCGACGAGCUGUCCGCCUGUAAUUACGAAAGGUUCUGUUCAAGUUUUCUCCUAUGCAUUUUCUGUUUGGCCGAUUGUAUUUCCGACUUAAGCCUAUAUUGUCAAUCAAAGUUUUUUGAGAUGACUAAGGUGCCGAUUCGAGUUUCCAUUCGCGGUACGUUACAUUUUUGAGAUCAAAAUAGUGAAGCAAUCAAUUUUCCGGCUACAUUGGUCUAAUUCUCUCAUCCUUUAUCCAUUUUAUUCAAAGCUUCAUGUUAAAUGUUUGUUUGGUGAUAUGAUUAUGUUAUUAUGUGAUUAUUCU
rnacentral:lncRNA from 1 species